GUUUUUUUUGACGGAGAGUUUGAUCCUGGCUCAGGAUGAACGCUGGCGGCGUGCUUAACACA
rnacentral:rRNA from 1 species